AGUCCACAUCGACGGGGAGGUUUGGCACCUCGAUGUCGGCUCAUCACAUCCUGGGGCUGUAGUAGGUCCCAAGGGUUGGGCUGUUCGCCCAUUAAAGUGGUACGCGAGCUGGGUUCAGAACGUCGUGAGACAGUUCGGUCCCUAUCCGUCGCAGGCGUAGGAAAUUUGAGAAGACCUGUCCUUAGUACGGGAGGACCGGGAUGGACGUACCUCUGGUGUACCAGUUGUCCUGCCAAGGGCAUGGCUGGGUAGCUAUGUACGGAAUGGAUAAGCGCUGAAAGCAUCUAAGCGCGAAGCCAACUUCAAGAUAAGAUUUC
rnacentral:rRNA from 1 species